ACACUUUUUUAACUAUUUAUUCUACUAUAUUCUAUAUUCACUAUUAUUUUAGAAUUAGCUAUUUUAAACAUGUGCCAAGUGGUAUGACAUUGUAUUGAUGUAUGUGAAAUGUAUAGAGUCUUUCAGUUAUCAGAUAAUGUCAAGGAGUUGACAGCAUGGUGUCCGAUUUAAAGUGCGAACCUGUGUACGAGUAACAACAGUAUUCAAAACCAAAACCUAUUUAAACCAACCAAACCAAAACUAGCGACC